rnacentral:rRNA from 1 species
UACGGGGGGUGCAAGCGUUAUUCGGAAUGACUGGGCGUAAAGAGCACGUAGGCGGCUCACUAAGUCCGAUGUGAAAGCCCUGGGCUCAAUCCAGGAAGUGCAUUGGAUACUGGUUUGCUAGAGUAUAGGAGGGGAGAGCGGAAUUUCUGGUGUAGAGGUGAAAUUCGUAGAUAUCAGAAGGAACAACAGCGGCGAAGGCGGCUCUCUGGACUAUUACUGACGCUGAGGUGCGAAAGCGUGGGGAGCAAACAGG